CCUACGGGGGGCAGCAGUGGGGAAUAUUGGGCAAUGGGCGCAAGCCUGACCCAGCAACGCCGCGUGAAGGAAGACGGCUCUCGGGUUGUAAACCUCCUUUGUUAGGGAAGAGUAGAAGACGGUACCUGACGAAUAAGCCACGGCUAACUACGUGCCAGCAGCCGCGGUAAUACGUAGGUGGCAAGCGUUGUCCGGAUUUACUGGGUGUAAAGGGCGUGUAGCCGGGUUGACAAGUCAGAUGUGAAAUCCUGCGGCUUAACCGCAGAACUGCAGUUGAAACUGUUGAUCUUGAGUACUGGAGAGGCAGAUGGAAUUCCUAGUGUAGCGGUGAAAUGCGUAGAUAUUAGGAAGAACACCAGUGGCGAAGGCAGUCUGCUGGACAGCAACUGACGGUGAGGCGCGAAAGCGUGGGGAGCGAACAGGAUUAGAUACCCCAGUAGUC
rnacentral:rRNA from 1 species